GAUGAACGCUGGCGGCGUGCCUAAUACAUGCAAGUCGAGCGAACAGAUAAGGAGCUUGCUCCUUUGACGUUAGCGGCGGACGGGUGAGUAACACGUGGGCAACCUACCUAUAAGACUGGAAUAACUCCGGGAAACCGGGGCUAAUGCCGGAUAACAUUUAGAACCGCAUGGUUCUAAAGUGAAAGAUGGUUUUGCUAUCACUUAUAGAUGGACCCGCGCCGUAUUAGCUAGUUGGUAAGGUAACGGCUUACCAAGGCAACGAUACGUAGCCGACCUGAGAGGGGGAUCGGCCACACUGGAACUGAGACACGGUCCAGACUCCUACGGGAGGCAGCAGUAGGGAAUCUUCCGCAAUGGGCGAAAGCCUGACGGAGCAACGCCGCGUGAGUGAUGAAGGUCUUCGGAUCGUAAAACUCUUUUAGUAGGGAAGAACAAAUGUGUAAGUAACUGUGCACGUCUUGACGGUACCUAAUCAGAAAGCCACGGCUAACUACGUG
rnacentral:rRNA from 1 species